UGGCUCCUACGGGGGGCAGCAGUGAGGAAUAUUGGUCAAUGGUCAGGAGACUGAACCAGCCAAGCCGCGUGAGGGAGGAAGGUACAGAGUAUCGUAAACCUCUUUUGUCAGGGAACAAAGACUGGGACGCGUCCCCGGAUGAGUGUACCUGAAGAAAAAGCAUCGGCUAACUCCGUGCCAGCAGCCGCGGUAAUACGGAGGAUGCGAGCGUUAUCCGGAUUUAUUGGGUUUAAGGGGUGCGCAGGCGGUCUGUUAAGUCAGCGGUCAAAGCCCGGGGCUCAACCCCGGCCCGCCG
rnacentral:rRNA from 1 species